GCUGCUGGAAGAGAGUAGGUGAGUUGUGUUUAGUCUCUUUGCUAAAGAAAUGAGUCAAAGCUAAAAAGAUGUUUGGUGUCUAGUACUAUGUCUGUGACCCUAUAUGUCCUGUUGAUGAAGUUAGGUGCUGUUCUGAGCAUUAUUUGUGGCUAUAGAGUGGCGUUUUGGUUGAGCGUGUGGCUCUCUGUAUUUCUAUCCUGCGG